rnacentral:rRNA from 1 species
AACUAGAUAGCGGCGUGUCAAAUACAUGCAAGUCGAGCGAACUGAUUAGAAGCUUGCUUCUAUGACGUUAGCGGCGGACGGGUGAGUAACACGUGGGCAACCUGCCUGUAAGACUGGGAUAACUUCGGGAAACCGAAGCUAAUACCGGAUAGGAUCUUCUCCUUCAUGGGAGAUGAUUGAAAGAUGGUUUCGGCUAUCACUUACAGAUGGGCCCGCGGUGCAUUAGCUAGUUGGUGAGGUAACGGCUCACCAAGGCAACGAUGCAUAGCCGACCUGAGAGGGUGAUCGGCCACACUGGGACUGAGACACGGCCCAGACUCCUACGGGAGGCAGCAGUAGGGAAUCUUCCGCAAUGGACGAAAGUCUGACGGAGCAACGCCGCGUGAGUGAUGAAGGCUUUCGGGUCGUAAAACUCUGUUGUUAGGGAAGAACAAGUACAAGAGUAACUGCUCGUACCUUGACGGUACCUAACCAGAAAGCCACGGCUAACUACGUGCCAGCAGCCGCGGUAAUACGUAGGUGGCAAGCGUUAUCCGGAAUUAUUGGGCGUAAAGCGCGCGCAGGCGGUUUCUUAAGUCUGAUGUGAAAGCCCACGGCUCAACCGUGGAGGGUCAUUGGAAACUGGGGAACUUGAGUGCAGAAGAGAAAAGCGGAAUUCCACGUGUAGCGGUGAAAUGCGUAGAGAUGUGGAGGAAACACCCAGUGGCGAAGGCGGCUUUUUUGGUCUGUAACUGACGCUGAGGCGCGAAAGCGUGGGGAGCAACCAGGGAUUAGAUACCCUGGUAGUCCACGCCGUAAAACGAUGAGUGCCUAGAGUGUUAGAGGGUUCCCGCCCCUAUAGUGCCUGCAACCUAACGUCAUUUAAGCC